UAGGGAAUCUUCGGCAAUGGACGAAAGUCUGACCGAGCAACGCCGCGUGAGUGAAGAAGGUUUUCGGAUCGUAAAACUCUGUUGUUAGAGAAGAACAAGGACGUUAGUAACUGAACGUCCCCUGACGGUAUCUAACCAGAAAGCCACGGCUAACUACGUGCCAGCAGCCGCGGUAAUACGUAGGUGGCAAGCGUUGUCCGGAUUUAUUGGGCGUAAAGCGAGCGCAGGCGGUUUCUUAAGUCUGAUGUGAAAGCCCCCGGCUCAACCGGGGAGGGUCAUUGGAAACUGGGAGACUUGAGUGCAGAAGAGGAGAGUGGAAUUCCAUGUGUAGCGGUGAAAUGCGUAGAUAUAUGGAGGAACACCAGUGGCGAAGGCGGCUCCCUGGUCUGUAACUGACGCUGAGGCUCGAAAGCGUGGGGAGCAAGCAGG
rnacentral:rRNA from 1 species